CCUACGGGUGGCAGCAGUGGGGAAUUUUGCGCAAUGCUCGUAAGAGUGACGCAGCGACGCCGCGUGAAUGACGACUGCCCUCCGGUCUUUAAGUUCCUUCGACAGGGAAGAACAUGCCUAUAAGUAACUGUGUAUGUAUUGACGGUACCUGUCUAAGCAGCCCCGGCUCACUCCGUGCCAGCAGCCGCGGUAAUACGGAGGAUGCGAGCGUGAACCGGAUUAAUUGGGUUUAAAGGGUGCUCGGGCGGUUUUUUAAGUUUGCGGGAAAAUCUGGGGGCUCAAACCCAUCCAGACGUUGAAACUGGGGAUCUAGAGUGUGCGUGAGGUAUGAGGAAUGCGUGGUGUAGCGGUGAAAGGCAUAGAGAGCACGCAGAACCCCGAGUGCGAAGGCAGCAUACCGGUGCACAACUGACGCUCAGGCUCGAAAGUGUGGGUAUCGAACAGGAUUAGAGACCCCUGUAGUC
rnacentral:rRNA from 1 species